CUCUUGUCUUCCUCUUAGUGAGUGUUCUAAAUUCACUACAAAAGUUAAUUACUAUGUUAGUGCAUGAUACCAAUGUUUUCCCUCAAAAAAGUAAAUGAAGAGUAAAUAUCAAUGUGCUUGUAUUUUCUCUAAUGAGGUAAGAUUGAAAGUUGAUGAACUUCCCACUUGAUAAAGAUCAGUUGUCCCACUCUUUGUCUCAUUCUCUGUCCCCAUUAUGAUUGGUCCGUGACAGAGAUUAGGACGGAGAGUGUGACAUCUGAUAUGUGUCCCUUCCCACAGGCCUUCCUAAUUGUGGAUAAAUAGAGGAUAUUUGAAAAUUUUCAUCAUCAUUUGGUUUAUCAAUAACACCUCCAACUCUAUUCAUCAUUGACUCAACUUGU